rnacentral:rRNA from 1 species
UACAGAGGGUGCAAGCGUUGUUCGGAAUUAUUGGGCGUAAAGGGAGUGUAGGCUGUGAGGUAAGUCUUCUGUGAAAUCUACGGGCUUAGCCUGUAACGUGCAGAGGAAACUGCUUCGCUUGAGUGUCGGAGAGGAUAGGGGAAUACCCGGUGUAGAGGUGAAAUUCGUAGAGAUCGGGUGGAACACCGGUGGCGAAGGCGGCGUCCUGGACCAACACUGACACUGAUGAGCGAAAGCCAGGGGAGCAAACGGG